CAUGCAAGUCGAGCGGAAACGAGUUGUCUGAACCUUCGGGGAACGAUAACGGCGUCGAGCGGCGGACGGGUGAGUAAUGCCUAGGAAAUUGCCUUGAUGUGGGGGAUAACCAUUGGAAACGAUGGCUAAUACCGCAUAAUGCCUACGGGCCAAAGAGGGGGACCUUCGGGCCUCUCGCGUCAAGAUAUGCCUAGGUGGGAUUAGCUAGUUGGUGAGGUAAUGGCUCACCAAGGCGACGAUCCCUAGCUGGUCUGAGAGGAUGAUCAGCCACACUGGAACUGAGACACGGUCCAGACUCCUACGGGAGGCAGCAGUGGGGAAUAUUGCACAAUGGGCGAAAGCCUGAUGCAGCCAUGCCGCGUGUAUGAAGAAGGCCUUCGGGUUGUAAAGUACUUUCAGUUGUGAGGAAGGGGGUGUCGUUAAUAGCGGCAUCUCUUGACGUUAGCAACAGAAGAAGCACCGGCUAACUCCGUGCCAGCAGCCGCGGUAAUACGGAGGGUGCGAGCGUUAAUCGGAAUUACUGGGCGUAAAGCGCAUGCAGGUGGUUCAUUAAGUCAGAUGUGAAAGCCCGGGGCUCAACCUCGGAACUGCAUUUGAAAC
rnacentral:rRNA from 1 species